UAGUGAAUACAAUAGGAGUUGCCGAUCCAAAGGCCUGGCUUAGGAGUGAUCCCGAGCCACGUGUACCUUCAAGAUCAAGAUCAAGAUAAGAUCAAGCUCAAAAUUUGUAGCAUCAACAUCUAGCUAGUGCUUGCUGUAAGAAAUCUUAAAGAAAAAAAAAAAAAAAAAUGAAGAAAGUUGAAGCAACGCACUGGUACAUGGAUGUUACAGUAGAGAGUGAAGAAGGAAGAGAUGAAAUGUCAGCAGAGAUGUUACAAGUUAUAAUGCGGGAUGCUGUGCUGGAGGUAUUUGGAGAGUCUGUUGCAAGCCUGCCCCUUGAUGUGCUUAUCUUUGAGCCACGUCUUGGCCGUGCAGUAAUACGUGUGCCAAGCCUCAACUACUGCCGAGUGCGUGCAGCGCUCUCACUGUACUGUAGUAAAGCUGGUGUGAGUUUUGGUGUGAGUAAUGCUUCCCCAUGCCUCAUUGCUUUGGCUGGACCAUGCCGGACUCUUACUUGAGGGCAUAAAGAUAGAAAUGGAUCAGGAGGCCAACCGAGAUGCACUGAUAAUGCAGGCAAGGGACCCUCCAAACCUGAGGGAUAUGUGAGGCACCUAAGGCAAGAGAGUGUCUGGUCUUGGUACAUCAGUUUUUUGGAACUUCCUCCUCUCCCUCCCCUCCUCCCCUUUAUCUGGCAUGGCACACUUAGUUUCUAAAGAUCUCCUCUUCCCUCUCUGGUAUGGAAGACACAUCUCCCAGAGACUUUCUCUUCUUUCUCGGGUUUGGCAAUAUUAGCAUCUACCUGAAGUCUCUCUCUCUCUCUCUCUCUCUCUCUCUCUCUCUCUCUCUCUCUCUCUCUCUCUCUCUCUCUCUCUCUCUCUCUCUC